GGUUUUUUGGAAUAUUUAAAAAAUCUAACCUGCCCGCUGAAUUAUAUUUUGAAGGGCCGCAGUAUUUUGACUGUGCAAAGGUAGCAUAAUAAUUAGUCUUUUAAUUGAAGGCUGGAAUGAAUGGUUGGAUGAGGUAAAUUCUGUUUUAUAUUAAUUUUAAUUGAAUUUAGAUUUUAAGUAAAAAUACUUAAAUAAUAUUAAGGGACGAGAAGACCCUAUAGAGUUUAAUAGAUGUAAUGAUUAAUUUAGUUAAUUAUUAUAUAAUUUUAUAUUAUUAUGAAAUUUAUUUAAUUGGGGUGAUUAGAGGAUAAAUUUAACUCUUCUUAAAAUUUAAUAUUAUAAUUAAAUUUAUGAUCCAUAUUUAAUGAUUAAAAGAUUAAAUUACCUUAGGGAUAACAGCAUAAUUUUUUUUGAGAGUUCAUAUUGAAAAAAAAGAUUUUGACCUCGAUGUUGGAUUAAGAUUAAUUUUAGGUGCAGAUGUUUAAUUAUUAGGUCUGUUCGACCUUUAAAAUCUUACA
rnacentral:rRNA from 1 species